UUUACCUCAAAAUUAUUUGAAUUAUAGGAGUAUAAUUUUUUAAGGUUCUUGUUUCAGUUGGGCAUCCAAUUCGACAUACAGAGUUCAAAGUUAAUGGUAGACCAUGUGAUAUGGUGAUGUUGAAAUAUGUUUGUUGAUAGUUGUUUACAUUUAUUUGUAUUUUUAUGGUAGUUGUUUUAAGCUCUUGUCAGCGAAGUUGUUCAUUUAUUUGUAUUUUUAUGGUAGUUGUUUUAAGCUCUUGUCAGCGAAGUUGUUUAUUAACAAACAUAUUUCAACAUCACCAUAUCACAUGAUCGAAAGUCCUUUUGAAAGAUUUAUUUUUAACAGAAAACUUGUUUUCACUUAUCAUGAGCCGUUGACGAUCAAGCUCAUUUAUUUUUAAAAACAAAGUCAUUUUCCUUCAAGGACAAUUUCACAAUUAAUAAAACAAAAUUAUAAAGUAAAUUCGGUUAUUUAAGAACCCAUGUGAGAUUUACUCACAAUAUAAAAAUAGCAUCAUAAUCAUCAAACAAAACCAUUACCAUUGUCAUCAUAAUAAUUAUCAUCAUCAUCAUUCUCAAAAACAACAACACAAUCAUCAUCAUAAUCAUCUUCAAAAUCAACAUCAUAAUAAUUAUAAUGAUUGGUCCGAAACUGGACCUUAGUGAGAUGUUACUCACCUCAAAUCCAGCUGCGUCUUCGCACGCACAACUCAAGCAUAUCACACAAAACCACAUCACAAAGUCACCUAUUAACAAAACGUUAACCUUAGUAACUAAGAAAGCAACAUUAUCCGACUCGAACCGAAACUCAAGUCCUAAUCCACGAGCUUAUCACUCGAGACAAAUCCUCCUCCUUGACCUCUAAAAGGUCGCUGAAACAUCCUACACAUCCUAUAGAACUACUAUCCAGAAUCUCAUGUUCGGAUUACUAAAAAAAAUGAAACGAACGAAACUAAUCACCACUGGGAAACCCUAGCAUGCAAUAAAGAUAACCAAAACCUACAACCCACAAAUCAACACACUCGUAUCGAAGAGUAUUAUCUAACCAGCACCACAAAACACCCCAGACACUACCGGACGCGCCACCACGCGCCACCACAGGCGGCGACGAGUGGGCCCCACGCGUCACCACGAAACGUCCGAAUUAGGGCAAACUCAAAACAUCAAAUUUGUAGAUUGAGGAGAGAGGAGCAUCUUUUAUACCUGAGGGUUCAACUAGUUCGGCCGGAAUCGGCCGGAAAUCACCGGAAACCCGCCGGAAAAGUUGGAAUUCACCACCACCACUCCACACCGAGAGUCAAGCUUCAAGACCACCGGAAAACAAACCAGGACGCCAAAGAGCUCCUAUCCCGACCGUUUCCAAGCUGCGUCGCCGCCGCCGGAGGUGGGAAACCCGACCGGUCUCCAAGCCGGACUUCCAAGCUUCGGGUCACCACUUCGGGACUGAAUCGGCGCAAGUCACCACCACAGGGCAGCUCGGACGGAGGAGAGGAAGAGAACCCGACCGGUGCCGUCGUCUGGGUCGGCCGGAGUUGGCCGGAAAAGUCGGGUCGGGUUGCCGGGUCCGGGUCAGGUCGGCUGGAAAACUCAGAUACCCAAGGUGAGGCGCGGGAGAGAAAGAGAAGAGGGAAGAAAUGGUUCCGGAAAAAUGAAAAGAAACCUAACACUUUUCUUAGUUAUACUAAAAAUUCCCGAAAAUCACGAACUUUUGCUGACCAUAACUUUCGCAUACAAAGUCCGUUUUACGCGUGCCACGUGUCUACGAACUCGUAUCGUCGUGCUCUACAACUUUCGUGAAGGAAGUUUCCCGAGAAACCCAACCGAUUAAAAAGUCAACUCUUAACCCUUCAAAAUAGAGCAUUUUUACGGAACUAAAAACUCAACUACUUCCAGUCCACUCACUAAACCACAAAUCCAUACAACUCUUACUUAAAUAAUUUCCAAAAUAAUAUUAGAAACUAAUAUUAAAAUUCCGGGGUAUUACACUUGGAUUGUAAUAUCUCACAUCAGCCAAACGGAGAAGGGUUAUGUGCUGUAUAUGUACAUGCCCACCUCCAAUCUAAUACGAGGCUUUUUGGUGUCUCAACGGCUUCGGAGGGGAUGGGUACUCCGAGGUUAAACAUGUUGAUGCUAGAGCAAUCCUAGGAUGGGUGACCUACUGGGAAGUUACUCCUGAGCUGUCGGAAACAAAACCGUGAGGGCCGGUGGGCCCAAAGCGGACAAUAUCGUGUUACGGCGGAAUGAGUCCUGGGAUGUGACAAAUGGUAUCAGAGCCACUCUGCCGUGUGGUGCGAGUGUGCCGACGAGGGCGUUGAACUCCCAAGGGGGUGGAUUGUAAUAUCCCACAUCGGCCAAACGGAGAGGAGUUAUGUGCUGUAUAUGUACAUGCUCACCUCCAAUCUAAUACGAGGCCUUUCGGUGGCUCAACGGCUUCAGAGGGGAUGGGUACUCCGAGGUUAAGCAUGUUGAUGCUAGAGCAAUCCUAGGAUGGGUGACCUACUGGGAAGCUGCUCCUGAGCUGUCGGAAACAAAACCGUGAGGGCCGGUGGGCCCAAAGCAGACAAUAUCGUGUUACGGCAGAAUGGGUCCUGGGAUGUGACAUUUAUUUCGCUUAUGUAAAUGGUAGACAUUUCUUAUGAAAAUAGUAGACGUGUCUUAUGUUAAAUGUAGACUUUGCAUCUUUUCUCUUGGGUUGCUUUAACCUCAAGAACAAUUUUGAUUUCUAGAAAGUCUACUUUUCUUUGAUUUCUCUUAUGUUAAUGGUAGACAUUUCUUAUGAAAAAAGUAGUUGUAUCUUAUGUUAAAUGUAGACUUUGCAUCUUUUACCUUGAUUUGCUUCAAUCUCAAGAACAAUUUAAUUUUCCAGAAAGUCUAUUUUUCUUUAAUUUCUCUUAUGUUAAUGGUAGAUGUUUCUAAUGAAAAUAGUAGAUGUGUCUUAUGUUAAAUGUAGACUUUGCAUUCUUUUACCUUGGGUUGGUUCAAUCUCAAGAACAAUUUAGAUUUCCAGAAAGUCUACUUUU
rnacentral:lncRNA from 1 species